rnacentral:rRNA from 1 species
GACGAACGCUGGCGGCGUGCUUAACACAUGCAAGUCGAGCGGUAAGGCCCUUUCGGGGGUACACGAGCGGCGAACGGGUGAGUAACACGUGGGUGACCUGCCCUCAGCUCUGGGAUAAGCCUGGGAAACCGGGUCUAAUACUGGAUAUGACUCCAUGACGCAUGUUGUGGGGUGGAAAGCCUUGUGCGGCUGAGGAUGGGCCCGCGGCCUAUCAGCUUGUUGGUGGGGUGANGGCCUACCAAGGCGACGACGGGUAGCCGGCCUGAGAGGGCGACCGGCCACACUGGGACUGAGACACGGCCCAGACUCCUACGGGAGGCAGCAGUGGGGAAUCUUGCGCAAUGGGCGAAAGCCUGACGCAGCGACGCCGCGUGAGGGAUGACGGCCUGUGUAA